ensembl:lncRNA
UGCCUCUUCAUGCUGCUCAUGGCCCCGCUGCUGCCUCUCCCCAGUGCUCGAGGACAGACUGUCACUUCAGCAGAAGGAGGCGAAGGAGAAUCGGUGCCGACUCCAGGAGGCGGUGGCUAAACUGGAGGCCAGGCUGGAUGAGCAGACUAGGCUGCUGGAGCAGGUGAGCCCACCCUGUGUCCUCUGCCUGGCUCAGCCCACCUGUCUGGGGAUGGGCCAUGGGUCUCGCUCACUGGAGGUCCUUGGCCUGGAGCCUGCGAGUGGCAUCUGUGUCUCCUCUGUGUCUGAACCCAGGAGCGACAGAGGGUGUUUGCGGAGCGCUCCAGAGCAGAAUUGCUGGAGGAGGAGCAACAAGUCUUGAACCAGCAGCUCUCCGCAGAACAAGCAGAGCUGGAGAGGAUGAAGGAGCGGGCAGAACUACAGAUCCAGGUCCGCAUGCUGAGAGCCAGGGAGGAGCAGCUGGAGAGGAACAAGGAGCUGCUGGACAAGACCUGGCAGGAGCUGAAGGCGGAGAGGAAGAAUGUAAAUGGGGCUGCACUGCGUGUGCAGCAGCAGGAGGAGGAGAUGAGAAGCAUGACCGAGGAUCGGCUGAGCAUGGCUCAGCAGAGGAGCCAACUUCAACAGCUGCGCCAGGAGCUGUCCAACAGCCCCAUGAUGGUGCAGACCCCAGGCCGGAACUCCAGUGCCCCUCUGACAGGCUCCUCCAGUGUGCCGGGUAAGGCUCUGUGCUUGCUGCUGGUGGGGAGGGACAUGCUGGGGGGCAGCUGCACUUGUAUUCCCCUUCUUGGGAGGCUUGGGCUGUUCCUGGGGGCUGUUUUAGUUCCCCUGCGUAUCAACCUCAGACGGGAGGAGUUGGCCUCCUCGUCUUGUGAAGGAGCUCAGCGAAGCUCUGAGCCAGGGCAGUGACAGGAGAGGGCAGAAGGGCCAGGAAGGGAGAGGCCGGUGGGUUAAAGCCCCUUUGCCCUGGGAGCGUGGGGAGGACCCUGCUGCAGGGACCUGCAGGCAGCACCCAAAGGGAUGCUGUGUCGUCUACAUCUACGGUUCCUCUGAUGGCAGCAGCAUCACACAAUUGGGCUUCUCUUCAGGCUUUCCACCUGCCAUCGGGAGCCCGGGAGGUAUCCAGCAACUCCUGGCCAGGGCCAGCUCCACCGAGUUUAGUGCCUGCCACCGUGGUGAUAAUGAAGUUCCGAUCCCUUCAGGUGAGGUGGUGGGAGACCGGGGCGGGAAGGGGCUU